rnacentral:rRNA from 1 species
CCUACGGGAGGCAGCAGUGAGGAAUAUUGGUCAAUGGACGCAAGUCUGAACCAGCCAUGCCGCGUGCAGGAAGACUGCUCUAUGAGUUGUAAACUGCUUUUGUACGAGAGUAAAACCAGAUACGCGUAUCUGUUUGAAAGUAUCGUACGAAUAAGGAUCGGCUAACUCCGUGCCAGCAGCCGCGGUAAUACGGAGGAUUCAAGCGUUAUCCGGAUUUAUUGGGGUUAAAGGGUGCGUAGGUGGUCGGGUAAGUUAGUUGUGAAAUUCUGAGGCUCAACCUUGGAAUUGCCUCUGAUACUGGUCGUCUUGAGUGCAGUUGAGGUAGGCGGAAUGUGUGGUGUAGCGGUGAAAUGCUUAGAGAUCAUACAGAACACCGAUUGCGAAGGCAGCUUACCAAGCUGCUACUGACGUUGAGGCACGAAAGCGUGGGGAGCAAACAGGAUUAGAUACCCGGGUAGUC